AUGAGAUCGACGAUAACCCCUGACGGGACUUCAUUUUCAGCUCUUGAUGUUUACAACCUUUUGACAGUUUUAACUGUUCUUCUGCAAAGACUAUACAGACCAGAAAUAACCAGGGGAGGAUAUCACUGUAAUUUUGUGACUCCGACUCCUCAUCAGACAGCCCCGCACCAGCCCGCCUCCGCCGCCCACAGCGACGAGGAUAUGAGCCGGAGCCGCCUUGCCGGCAAGGGGGAGCCGCGGUCGCCUCGCAGUCGUCCACAGAGUCGCACAGGAGCAGAGAGCCAACAGUCAUUUCUGGAAAGCACUCUUAAUCAUCCUCUGACGACUGACGGGACUUCAUUUUCAGCUCUUCAUGUUCACAGUUUUUGUCAGUAG
rnacentral:rRNA from 1 species